rnacentral:rRNA from 1 species
CCUACGGGUGGCAGCAGUGAGGAAUAUUGGUCAAUGGACGAGAGUCUGAACCAGCCAAGUAGCGUGAAGGAUGACUGCCCUAUGGGUUGUAAACUUCUUUUAUAUGGGAAUAAAAUGUUCCACGUGUGGGAUUUUGUAUGUACCAUAUGAAUAAGGAUCGGCUAACUCCGUUCCAGCAGCCGCGGUAAUACGGAGGAUCCGAGCGUUAUCCGGAUUUAUUGGGUUUAAAGGGAGCGUAGGUGGAUUGUUAAGUCAGUUGUGAAAGUUUGCGGCGCAACCGUAAAAUUGCAGUUGAAACUGGCAGUCUUGAGUACAGUAGAGGUGGGCGGAAUUCGUGGUGUAGCGGUGAAAUGCUUAGAUAUCACGAAGAACUCCGAUUGCGAAGGCAGUUCACUGGACUGCAACUGACACUGAGGCUCGAAAGUGUGGGUAUCAAACAGGAUUAGAUACCCCUGUAGUC